rnacentral:rRNA from 1 species
UACGUAGGGUGCAAGCGUUAAUCGGAAUUACUGGGCGUAAAGCGUGCGCAGGCGGCCCCGCAAGUCGGCCGUGAAAUCUCCGGGCUCAACUCGGAGGGGUCGGGCGAGACUGCGGAGCUCGAGGUGGGCAGAGGGCAGUGGAAUUCCGGGUGGUAGUGGUGGAAUGCGUAGAGAUCCGGAGGAACACCAGUGGCGAAGGCGGCUGCCUGGGCCUGGCCUGACGCUGAGGCGCGAAAGCGUGGGGAGCGAUCCGG